rnacentral:rRNA from 1 species
UACGGAGGGUGCAAGCGUUAUCCGGAUUCACUGGGCUUAAAGGGUGCGUAGGCGGGUUGGUAAGUCAGUGGUGAAAUCUCCAGGCUUAACUUGGAAACUGCCAUUGAUACUAUCAAUCUUGAAUACCGUGGAGGUCAGCGGAAUAUGUCAUGUAGCGGUGAAAUGCUUAGAUAUGACAUAGAACACCAAUUGCGAAGGCAGCUGGCUACACGAAUAUUGACACUGAUGCACGAAAGCGUGGGGAGCAAACAGG